UACGUAGGGCGCAAGCGUUGUCCGGAAUUAUUGGGCGUAAAGAGCUCGUAGGCGGUUUGUCGCGUCUGCUGUGAAAUCCCGAGGCUCAACCUCGGGCUUGCAGUGGGUACGGGCAGACUAGAGUGCGGUAGGGGAGACUGGAAUUCCUGGUGUAGCGGUGGAAUGCGCAGAUAUCAGGAGGAACACCGAUGGCGAAGGCAGGUCUCUGGGCCGCAACUGACGCUGGAGGAGCGGAAAGCAUGGGGAGCGAACAGGAUU
rnacentral:rRNA from 1 species